AGUGAACGCUGGCGGUAGGCCUAACACAUGCAAGUCGAACGGCAGCACAGUAAGAGCUUGCUCUUACGGGUGGCGAGUGGCGGACGGGUGAGGAAUACAUCGGAAUCUACUUUUUCGUGGGGGAUAACGUAGGGAAACUUACGCUAAUACCGCAUACGACCUAAGGGUGAAAGCAGGGAUUCUCGGAAGCUGGCGCGUUAGAUGGGCCGAUGUCGGAUUAGCUAGGUGGCGGGGUAAAGGCCCACCAAGGCGACGAUCCGUAGCUGGUCUGAGAGGAUGAUCAGCCACACUGGAACUGAGACACGGUCCAGACUCCUACGGGAGGCAGCAGUGGGGAAUAUUGGACACUUGUCGCAAGCCUGAUCCAGCCAUACCGCGUUAGUUAAGAAGGCCUUCGGGUUGUAAAGCCCUUUUGUUGGGAAAGAAAAGCAGCAAUUUAAUACCCCGCUGUUCUGACAGUCCCCCAAAAAUAAUCACCGGCUAACUUCCUG
rnacentral:rRNA from 1 species